GUCCACGGCCAUAACACCCUGAAUGCGCCCGAUCUCAUCUGAUCUCAGAAGCUAAGCAGGUUCGGGCCUGGUUAGUACUUGGAUGGGAGAAAAUGAAGAGCCAGGCUGGACACGGUGGCUC
ensembl:rRNA 5S_rRNA 5S ribosomal RNA